UACGUAGGUGGCAAGCGUUGUCCGGACUUACUGGGCGUAAAGGGCGUGCAGGCGGUUUGUUAAGUGCAGAGUGAAAGCUCCCGGCUCAACUGGGAGAGGUCUUUGCAUACUGGCAAACUCGAGGGAGGCAGAGGAAAGUGGAAUUCCUGGUGUAGCGGUGGAAUGCGCAGAUAUCAGGAGGAACACCGAUGGCGAAGGCAGGUCUCUGGGCCGCAACUGACGCUGAGGAGCGAAAGCAUGGGGAGCGAACAGG
rnacentral:rRNA from 1 species